GGCGGCUGCUCCGGGCAGCGCUGCAGGGCGAGGGCUGGCAGCCGCCGGCAGGAGAGAGAUGCGCGCACACACCAGUGCGUAGAGAGAGGGAGGAUGGAUGGAUGGAGCGAUGCACAGAGCCGAGAGGAGGUAGAGACACCCAGCACAGGGAAGGGAGAGGAAGAGAUGCCCAGAGCUGACGAGAAUUGCACGGUGAUCAGUGGAAAGGGGUGGAGAGAGAGGCAGAAAUGAGAGACACCUCUCAGGAGAGACAGGCACUUGCGAGAGAAGAGCGGUGCCUCUCGCCAAGCCGCCCCCUCCCUUCCAUGUGACGCAGAUGUGCUCUGGGGCCAUCAGUGUGAAGAGACACAGGGAAAGGGAUGCUUCAGUCAUCCUCACGCAAGUGAGUCGGCAGGUCGCUAAUUGUCUCUCACAGCCCCUGCUUCUCCCUCUCCAGCACCUUGCUAUUUUGGUUUGGAUUACACUAUAUAAUAUUGGGAGAAAAAUACAUGGAAGUAAAUGCAGCAGUAGCAGUAAACACAGGAGCAUGAAUCACUGGAGUACAAACUUAAUAGACUGCAUGCUGACUGGAUGAGGUUACAGGUUAACGAUUUAUUCUGCAGACUCCAUUCAUUAGCGUCUUGGCUCAGUGUUGCUGUAGCAGUAGAAAACAUAGGCUAGACAAACAGCGUGUCAAACUGAAAUAGUACUACACAUCUGUUUCUUACCUUUUAUAUGUGCUCUUAAUGCAGUCUGACAGUGCUAAACCCAAGGGAAGUUCCUUCACAACAGAGAAAUCUGUUUGGGAACAUCUGCCCACAUGGGAUGGAUGUCACAAAGUAUUCUGUGCAUCUGGGAUGUGAUUCUAGAAUUAAAAGCUUCAUGGUGAAAUGCGGGAGAGGGAUACUACACUGCAAAACUACACUACGUAUCACCACCUGCAAGCUUAUAAAUCACAGUGCAUGCUAAGUUGCCAGAAAUAAGACAACAUACAGAAUGCCUGAAAUCCACCUGUACCUUAGAAAGUAGUAUUUUAGAAAAAAGAUGUGUUGCUAGGAAAGUGUUGAAAAAAAAUUUCCUCAAGGUGCUCUCUGUUUCAGUCUGCUUCAUCAAUGCACCUGUGAGCUACUAAAAGUUUGUUAUUACUGAUUCUUUAUGAAUUCGGGAAUAAAAGUUAAAGGAAAUCUUCCCCUCAAGUUGGAACAUUCUGACUCUUCAUUCAUAAAGCACUAUAGCUUUAAAAAAUUCUCCAGAGAAACAGAGAAUUCAAACAUUAAUUAAAAGUUUUAUUACUGGUUUAUUUAUUUUGUCAGCCGCUGUACUUCUAGUUGUAAACCAAUAUUAAGUUAUCUGUUUUAACUUUGAUUAAGUUCUGUAUUGAACAGAACAAGAAAUUCAGGACAUAAACUUCUACUUUCUAGGGAAGAAAAACUUCCACUGUGCAUUUUAAAUAUUGAUUUAUUCCACAACUGGACUGCAAACUCCCUAGUGUCCCAGUUUUGCUUUCAGUACUCAGUACUAAAAAAAAAUUAAAAAAUAUAUUAAAAAAAAAAAAAACUUUAAAGAAAGCAGAAGAGACUGUUUUUAUGUAAGAACUGAUGUGAAUGAAUAUGUGCUGCUUGGGGGGCAAUGAGAAGAAGAGCAUAGAAAUCUUCAUCUAAAAUAGGAUUAAACUUUCAUCAUUUCAGAAACUUAAGAAAUGCACCUCUUAUGAAAAUAUAUGUGAAAUAAUCCAUAAUAAACACCUGGUUACUUAAUGUCUGAUUACAAGCUAGGAGAGAUGAGAUUAUGUACAUAUCAAGUGAUAUUUAAUACCUUUAAUUUACUGGGAAAGACUUGAGGGGAAUUGCCUAUUUUCUUUACUCUGUUGUAAUUCUUGUAUAAGAUUAACACGUGAUUAAUGUAUUAACACUUCAGUUAAUCAUUUGAUGUGAGUAGUCGAUAGAUUUUUAUUUAGUUUCAUCUUAACUAUGUUGCAUAGAUUUUCUUUCUUCUGUUACUUAGAUAAAUAUAAAUGGCAGUAUAUUGUAACAUUUUUUUUUUCUAAAUGUACUUCACAUGUCACUCAAUGGAUGUAUUAGAGAUCACCCAACAAACUGAUUCAGUCCUUUAUCAGCUUUCAACUACAGACUAGCAAGCAAUUACGAAGAAAAAAAGUAAAAGUUAUUACGGACUGUUACUUCAAUUAUGCCAGUAACUGACAGAGUCUUGCAUUAUUUUUGUUUAAUGGUUGAAGUCUCAGCUCUUCAGUGUAUUCUGUGUAGGGUUUUAUAUGCAUUGUAACACUACUUGAUUCCUUCAUAUUUUAAUAUAUAACCAUUUUUUUGCAACUAAAUGAUACAUUAAUUUAGUAUAUAUACCUGAUUUUUAGCCAGCAUCUUACAGUUAAUUUCAGGUAUGAAAAUGUAUGAACACUAUCAUCAGAAGAUAUCUAGAAAGCUCUCUUAAUCUUCUUAUUCAGAGCACAUUCACAAGUAUAAAUAAAGUAUUUUGUCAAUGUACAGUGAACAAGAGCUAUACCAAAAAAAGCUACACUGGAGAAGUAUCUGUUGUCACUGCAUAUACUUCAUGAAUAAAUUGUUUUUCCUAGAAAAAAGAUGAAACUGUUUUUCUUAGUUUUUCAGAGUUUCUUAUCUUUAUGUUUCUGUGCAAGCACUUUUGACAUACGCCAGUGAGGCAAAGGACGUAUUCUAAACUACCACAUGACAAGGUAAACACAAAUGUCUUUUAAAUUUCAGUUGAAAUUUCUGUUACAUGAUAUGAUUAAUUCUAUAGGUUAUCUAGACUUAGAGUGAUAACAUGAACUUUCUCCUCUACCCAGGAAAAAUAAAAAUGAUUCUCUGUUGUAGGUCUAGGCACCUUGCUCACAUACAAUACACAGCACAAGCAAUUACAACAAAACUAUUAGUUUAUAAGUCAACAAUGUCUUAGACUAUGUAUAGGGGGUUGACAUAAACGUGUGAACAAAUAUGUGAAAAUAAACAUUUCUUAAGUUACUGAAGGGAAAUGUUUUGAUAUCUUAAAAGUUUCCCUCCUUACCCAUGAAGUGUAACCAAGAUAAUAAUAAAUGUGGAUAAACUGUCAAGUCUGUUACUGUCAACUCUGUUACACACUAGAACACACUGUAUUGCAUUGUAUUUUUGUUUAUUAAAUGACAUAUUUCUGAACUCUUCACCUCUUUCAACUUCCCCAGAUUAAUAACCACACGGAGCUUGAAUAACAUUAGCAAAUUUGCUUGAAAGUGCUCAUGGCUUUUUCUUCUUUAUGUGUUUAGUUAGGUUAAGAAAUAAAAGAAAAUAGUUUUUAG
ensembl:lncRNA